CAGUAGCCGCGGUAAUACGAAGGGGGCUAGCGUUGUUCGGAAUUACUGGGCGUAAAGCGCACGUAGGCGGAUCAAUCAGUCAGGGGUGAAAUCCCAGGGCUCAACCCUGGAACUGCCUUUGAUACUGUCGAUCUGGAGUAUGGAAGAGGUGAGUGGAAUUCCGAGUGUAGAGGUGAAAUUCGUAGAUAUUCGGAGGAACACCAGUGGCGAAGGCGGCUCACUGGUCCAUUACUGACGCUGAGGUGCGAAAGCGUGGGGAGCAAACAGGAUUAGAUACCCCUGUAGUCCCUGUCUCUUAUAA
rnacentral:rRNA from 1 species